GAUGAACGCUAGCGGCAGGCCUAAUACAUGCAAGUCGAACGGUGUCUUCGGACAUAGUGGCGCACGGGUGCGUAACACGUAUGCAACCUACCUUACAUUGGGGGAUAGCCUUUCGAAAGGGAGAUUAAUACCGCAUAAGACAGUAGCUGGGCAUCCAGCAGCUGUUAAAGAUUUAUCGAUGUAAGCUGGGCAUGCGUCCAAUUAGCUAGUUGGUGAGGUAACGGCUCACCAAGGCAAUGAUUGGUAGGGGAACUGAGAGGUCAAUCCCCCACACUGGCACCGAGAUACGGGCCAGACUCCUACGGGAGGCAGCAGUAGGGGAUAUUGGGCAAUGGACGCAAGUCUGACCCAGCCAUGCCGCGUGCAGGAUGAAGGCGUUAUGCGUUGUAAACUGCUUUUAUACAGGAAGAAACGACUCUUGCGAGAGGCAUUGACGGUACUGUAUGAAUAAGCACCGGCUAACUCCGUGCCAGCAGCCGCAGUAACAC
rnacentral:rRNA from 1 species